UCGGGUAUGACUGGGUACUGAGGGGU
rnacentral:sRNA from 1 species